rnacentral:rRNA from 1 species
AUUGAACGCUGGCGGCAUGCCUUACACAUGCAGGUCGAACGGCAGCACGGGAGCAACCCUGGUGGCGAGUGGCGAACGGGUGAGUAAUAUAUCGGAACGUGCCCAGUCGUGGGGAAUAACGCAGCGAAAGCUGUGCUAAUACCGCAUACGAUCUACGGAUGAAAGCGGGGGAUCGCAAGACCUCGCGCGAUUGGAGCGGCCGAUAUCAGAUUAGCUAGUUGGUGGGGUAAAGGCCCACCAAGGCGACGAUCUGUAGCUGGUCUGAGAGGACGACCAGCCACACUGGAACUGAGGCACGGUCCAGACUCCUACGGGGGGCAGAAGUGGGGAAUUUUGGACAAUGGGCGCAAGCCUGAUCCAGCAAUGCCGCGUGCAGGAUGAAGGCCUUCGGGUUGUAAACUGCUUUUGUACGGAACGAAACGGCCCUUUCUAAUACAGGGGGCUAAUGACGGUACCGUAAGAAUAAGCACCGGCUAACUACGUGCCAGCCGCCGCCGUAAGAC